GAUAAGGUUAAGUGAAUAAGGGCGCACGGUGGAUGCCUUGGCACUAGGAGCCGAUGAAGGACGGGACUAACACCGAUAUGCUUUGGGGAGCUGUACGUAAGCUAUGAUCCAGAGAUUUCCGAAUGGGGGAACCCAGCAUCUUUAAUAGGAUGUU
rnacentral:rRNA from 1 species